GAGACAAUAUAAGGACAUUGGAAGAAGGGAGUCUUGCUCUUGCUCCCUCGCCUGCUUACCAUGUAGGACUGAGUAACUGCUAGAUCCUUGGACUUCCAUUCACAGCUACCACUGAACCAUUGUUGGGAAUUGGACUGCAGACUCAUUCCAGACUUAAGGAUGUAAAGGAGGAAGCUUGAUAAGGCAGAUGAAACUUGGAAAAUUCGUCAUGGUUGGAGCGGUUACACGUGCUUUCAGGAUCUGAAGAUGGUGUCCCGAGUCACAGAGAAGUCAUCGAUGCCACCAAAGCUUUACAGGACCAGAGGGAAGAUGAGAACAGAGGGUCUAUAUAAGCAAAAUUCCCGCUCAGAGAACUGGUGCUUAUUUGCUGCCAGCCUGGCGACUGUAGGAGUUACCACACGUGGGUGCUAAACCAUGGCACUGGUAGAUGCACAGUUCUCUCUUGGAGCAAGACAUGAAUGUCAUAUCCUCCAGGCCUUCUGCGUGGAAAAGUCAGCAUCCUGGUCACCAAGACCUGAGUUUGAAGUCACCUUCCUGCUUUUACCUCACGGCCUUCAACAAGAGAAUGACAGACAUUUUGUAGAUGAAAUGGCAAAUCCAGAGAGACAGAUAAUGAAAAUGAAAUGCCCCAUCAUGGUGUCUGGUACAGGGCAGAAAAAUGAAUGCGCACCAAUCGCCCUGAACUCCACACUCCAGCGAGGGGUGAGGCAGGGGAAGGAGCUCUCCGUUCUGUCCACCCUGGGUCCCGAUCACAGAAAGUCCCAGGCUACAGCAGCGCUGUGCCCAACUAUCCUAUAUCAGCUUCAGCAUGAAAGCUCGCUGUCUGAGAGCCUCAGCUGGUUUGCAGUAGAGGUGUCCAAACCUGAAAUUCUAAAAGAUCUGCUGCCUGGAAGGGGUCUCUUCCUUCCAGGACUCCGCAGAUAGCAGUCCAUUUGCUAAUCUAACUCAACCAUUUCCCCGCCAGGACAGGAAAUCGCUAAUGCCCUAGCUGGGGCUUCUUUUCAGUGCAUGGCAUGAGGGUGGGGUAGGGGGGCGGGCGUUGGAGGGUCCAGGGUGGGUGUGUUUACUUAGUGUAUUCUCCCAGUCCAUUCUGGAUGGUCUGAGCCUCCGAAGCCCUGGCUGCCCCAGUUCAGCCCGUGACUCCUCUGACUCAGAGCUACCCUGGAGACGGUUCCUCCUCUGAGUCAUCAGGCUGAGCUGCUUUCGAGGAUAGUAGAGUCUGGCACUGCCCUCCAUCUUCUCAGCAAAGGUGCUGGGCCUCCACACCCGAGUGCCAGCCCCACGCCUAAUUAGGCUCACAAUGCCCAGAAAUCAAGGAACAAGUUCUUCGAGGUAUCUGAGAGUGCAGAAGGUUCCAAGACUGGGACUUAGAAUGCUCAGGGUUCUGUUCCAGCUCAGCCAAGUAGCUUGUGUGACCUUGGGCUAGUCACAGAACACCCGAAGCAGAAGGAGUAAGUGAUCUACACUGGCUGUGUUGCACAAGGAUGUUGAGAGGCCAAAAACCAAAUGCAGACAAUGAGGCACAAGUCCAGGAGCUUAACCUGGUUAUAGGGACAAGACUUAGCAUUUUAUUUUAUUUUAUUUUAUUUUUGGUUUUCUAAGACAGGGUUUCUCUGUGUAGCCCUGGCUGUCCUGGAACUCACUCUGUACACCAGGCUGGCCUUGAACUCAGAAAUUCACCUACCUCUGUUUCUCAAGUGCUGGGAUUAAAGACAUGUGCCACCACUGCCUGGCUAGGGCUUAGCAUUUUAAAGUAAGAUUCAUUCCUUUUCAUUUUAUAUGUCUGAAUAUUUUACCUGCAUUGUAUGUUUAUGUAUGUGCUCCAGGAACAUACAUGCCUAAUGCACCAGGAGGCCAGAAGAGUACGAGUAUGGUACGCUGAAACUAAAGUGACCAGUUGUGAGCCAUCAUUCCAACGCUGGGAAUCAAACCUGGGUCCUCUGCAAGAGCGGCAUUUUAAAAAUGAGGUGUCGGAAAAAAUAGAGACCUCACUUAAAUGUCUGGGUUUCUGGCUUCUCUGGGAAAAUGAGCCGCUCCUGUCAUAUUCCUUCCUUUCACCGGAUGAGGAUAACCCAGCAGGCCUUAGUAGGCAGAGUCUGAGGCUGCUCUCCCUUGGGCCACAGACCCUCCCCCAACUCCUAUUUGGGCUCCAGCACUGAGGCCAUCAUUCCCAUUUGUUACUGCUAUCAUGAAAGCUUCGUGGAAAUGAAGUCAUCCUAAUAACUAUGUUUCUGUCGAAACGGAAAUUAAAUGUCUCUUGAUUC
rnacentral:lncRNA from 1 species